AUUGAACGCUGGCGGCAUGCCUUACACAUGCAAGUCGAACGGUAACAGGUUAAGCUGACGAGUGGCGAACGGGUGAGUAAUAUAUCGGAACGUGCCCAGUAAUGGGGAGUAGCCCGGCCGAAAGCCGGAUUAAUACCGCAUACGACCUACGGGUGAAAGCAGGGGAUCGCAAGACCUUGCGUUAUUGGAGCGGCCGAUAUCAGAUUAGCUUGUUGGUGGGGUAAAAGCCCACCAAGGCGACGAUCUGUAGCUGGUCUGAGAGGACGACCAGCCACACUGGGACUGAGACACGGCCCAGACUCCUACGGGAGGCAGCAGUGGGGAAUUUUGGACAAUGGACGAAAGUCUGAUCCAGCCAUGCCGCGUGCGGG
rnacentral:rRNA from 1 species